rnacentral:misc_RNA from 1 species
CGCGUGCCCACAAUCCAUGAGAGAUACUGGUGCGGCCAGCGGAUUUGCAAUAACCGCAGGAGCUCCGGCAGCGACCCCAAUCAACCACGACGGUUUCUCCCCUGCUAUUGCUGCUUUUGCUAGUACUAGCUUCGCUUCUUCUCAUCGUUCCAGCCAUUUCCCUAUCUCUCUCUCUCUCUUCCUAUGCUUGGAAUUCUCGUUGAUCACCACCUAACUCUUUUUCACGGUUUACCGUAUUAAAACGCCACCGUUCCCCCUUGUCCCAUUCCCCUUUGAGUUUUU